GACGAACGCUGGCGGCGUGCUUAACACAUGCUAGUCGAACGGAAAGGCCCUGCUUUUGUGGGGUGCUCGAGUGGCGAACGGGUGAGUAACACGUGAGUAACCUGCCCUUGACUUUGGGAUAACUUCAGGAAACUGGGGCUAAUACCGGAUAGGAGCUCCUGCUGCAUGGUGGGGGUUGGAAAGUUUCGGCGGUUGGGGAUGGACUCGCGGCUUAUCAGCUUGUUGGUGGGGUAGUGGCUUACCAAGGCUUUGACGGGUAGCCGGCCUGAGAGGGUGACCGGCCACAUUGGGACUUAGAAACGGCCCAGACUCCUACGGGAGGCAGCAGUGGGGAAUAUUGCACAAUGGGCGGAAGCCUGAUGCAGCAACGCCGCGUGCGGGAUGACGGCCUUCGGGUUGUAAACCGCUUUCGCCUGUGACGAAGCGUGAGUGACGGUAAUGGGUAAAGAAGCACCGGCUAACUACGUG
rnacentral:rRNA from 1 species